CUGUACGAGUUUGAUCAUGGCUCAGAGUGAACGCUGGCGGCAGGCCUAACACAUGCAAGUCGAACGGCAGCACGGCAGUAGCAAUACUGUGGGUGGCGAGUGGCGGACGGGUGAGGAAUACAUCGGGAUCUACCCUGUUGUGGGGGAUAACGUAGGGAAACUUACGCUAAUACCGCAUAAGAACUGAGGUUGAAAGCGGCGGACCGCAAGGCGUCGCGCGAUUGGAUGAACCGAUGUCCGAUUAGCUAGUUGGCGGGGUAAAGGCCCACCAAGGCGACGAUCGGUAGCUGGUCUGAGAGGACGACCAGCCACACUGGAACUGAGACACGGUCCAGACUCCUACGGGAGGCAGCAGUGGGGAAUAUUGGACAAUGGGCGCAAGCCUGAUCCAGCCAUGCCGCGUGGGUGAAGAAGGCCUUCGGGUUGUAAAGCCCUUUUGUCCGGAAAGAAAAGCAUUCGGUUAAUACCCGGGUGUUCUGACGGUACCGGAAGAAUAAGCACCGGCUAACUUCGUG
rnacentral:rRNA from 1 species